rfam:Dipodomys ordii contig_30385, whole genome shotgun sequence.
GGGGUGGUGGCUCUGUAGUAGAGUGCUUGCCUUGCAUGUAUGAGGCCCUGGGUUUGAUUCCUCAGCACCCCA